AUUGAACGCUGGCGGCAGGCCUAACACAUGCAAGUCGAGCGGCAGCGGAAAGUAGCUUGCUACUUUGCCGGCGAGCGGCGGACGGGUGAGUAAUGUCUGGGAAACUGCCUGAUGGAGGGGGAUAACUACUGGAAACGGUAGCUAAUACCGCAUAACGUCGCAAGACCAAAGAGGGGGACCUUCGGGCCUCUUUCCAUCAGAUGUGCCCGGAGGGGGUUAGCUAGUGGGUGGGGGAACGGCUAACCUAGGCGACGAUCCCUAGCUGGUCUGAUAGGCUGACCAGGCACACUGGAACUGAGACACGGUCCAGACUCAUACGGGAGGCAGCAGUGGGGAAUAUUGCACAAUGGGCGCAAGCCUGAUGCAGCCAUGCCGCGUGUAUGAAGAAGGCCUUCGGGUUGUAAAGUACUUUCAGCGGGGAGGAAGGUGUUGAGGUUAAUAACCUCAGCAAUUGACGUUACCCGCAGAAGAAGCACCGGCUAACUCCGUGCCAGCAGCCGCCGUAAAAC
rnacentral:rRNA from 1 species